AUUAGUUUUUUAAUUGAAGGCUAGAAUGAAUGGUUGGACAAGAAAUAAUCUGUCUUAAUUAAAUAUAUUGAAUUUAACUUUUAAGUGAAAAGGCUUAGAUAAUCUGAAGGGACGAUAAGACCCUAUAAAACUUUAUAUUUAUAAGUUAAUAGUUAAUUUUAUUUAAAUAUAUUAUAUUUAAAUAUUUUGUUGGGGUGACAAGGAUAAAAUUAAAAAUAACUGUCCUUUUUUAUAACAGUAAUGUUUGUAUUAAUGAUCCUUAAAUGGAUUUAAGAUUAAGUUACUUUAGGGAUAACAGCGUAAUUUUCUUUAAGAGUUCUUAUCGACAAGAAAGUUUGCGACCUCGAUGUUGAAUUAAAAGUUCUUUAUAGAGUAGAGACUAUAAAAGAGGGUCUGUUCGACCUUUAAAUUUUUACAUGAUUUGAGUUCAGACCGGUGUGAG
rnacentral:rRNA from 1 species